rnacentral:rRNA from 1 species
GACGUAGGGCGCGAGCGUUGUCCGGAUUUAUUGGGCGUAAAGAGCUCGUAGGCGGUUUGUCGCGUCUGCUGUGAAAACCUGAGGCUUAACCUCGGGCUUGCAGUGGGUACGGGCAGACUAGAGUGCGGUAGGGGUGACUGGAAUUCCUGGUGUAGCGGUGGAAUGCGCAGAUAUCAGGAGGAACACCGAUGGCGAAGGCAGGUCACUGGGCCGCAACUGACGCUGAGGAGCGAAAGCAUGGGGAGCGAACAGG